AGGCGAUGAAGGACGUAGCACGUUGCGAUAAGCUGCGAGGAGGUACGAGCAACCUUUGAUCCGCAGAUUUCCGAAUGGGGAAACCCACCCUUAGGGGUAUCCUGCACUGAAUACAUAGGUGUAGGAGGCAAACCCGGUGAACUGAAACAUCUAAGUAACCGGAGGAAAGGACAUCAACCGAGACUCCGCUAGUAGUGGCGAGCGAACGCGGACUAGGCCAGUGGCCAAUUUGUAAGAACCGGAAUCGUCUGGAAAGGCGAGCCAUAGUAGGUGAUAGCCCUGUACGGGUAGAAAGCAAAUUGGUCCUUGAGUAAGGCGGAACACGUGAAAUUCUGUCUGAACGUGGGGGGCCCACCCUCCAAGCCUAAGUACUCCUUAGUGACCGAUAGUGAACAAGUACCGUGAGGGAAAGGUGAAAAGCACCCCGACGAGGGGAGUGAAAUAGUACCUGAAACCGAAUGCCUACAAGCAGUAGGAGCACCCUUGAGGUGUGACUGCGUACCUUUUGUAUAAUGGGUCAGCGACUUAAUCUAUGCAGCAAGCUUAAGCCGUUAGGUGUAGGCGCAGCGAAAGCGAGUCUUAAUAGGGCGACUGAGUUGCAUGGAUUAGACCCGAAGCCGAGUGAUCUAGCNAUGGGCAGGUUGAAGGUGAGGUAACACUCACUGGAGGACCGAACCCACCUAUGUUGAAAAAUGGGGGGAUGACCUGUGGCUAGGGGUGAAAGGCCAAUCAAACUCGGAAAUAGCUGGUUCUCCGCGAAAUCUAUUUAGGUAGAGCGUUAUGUGAUUGCCGCCGGGGGUAGAGCACUGGAUGGGCUAGGGGGACCCAAAGUCUUACCAAACCUAACCAAACUCCGAAUACCGGUGAGUACAGCAUAGCAGACACACAUAGGGUGCUAAGGUCCUAUGUGGAAAGGGAAACAGCCCAGACCGCCAGCUAAGGUCCCUAAGUUAUGGCUAAGUGGGAAAGGAAGUGAGAAGGCCAAGACAACCAGGAGGUUGGCUUAGAAGCAGCCAUCCUUUAAAGAAAGCGUAACAGCUCACUGGUCUAAAUAAGCCGUCUCGCGCCGAAGAUGUACCGGGGCUAAAGCCAUACACCGAAGCUGCGGACUCCAGUUUACUGGAGUGGUAGCGGAGCGUUCCGUAAGCCUGUGAAGGUGUGCCGUGAGGCAUGCUGGAGGUAUCGGAAGUGAGAAUGCUGACAUGAGUAGCGACAAGGAGUGUGAGAAACACUCCCGCCGAAAGUCCAAGGGUUCCUGCGCAAGGCUAAUCCGCGCAGGGUGAGCCGGCCCCUAAGGCGAGGGCGAAAGCCGUAGUCGAUGGGAACCAGGUUAAUAUUCCUGGGCCUGCUGGAAGUGACGAAUGCUGANAGUUGUUCAUNCUUAUNGGAUUGNGUGGGCAGCGUAGGUGUUCCAGGAAAUAACUCCAGCGUAUAGACCGUACCCUAAACCGACACAGGUGGACAGGUAGAGUAUACCAAGGCGCUUGAGAGAACGAUGUUGAAGGAACUCGGCAAAAUGCACCCGUAACUUCGGGAUAAGGGUGACCUCUNUUUGGGCAACCGNUNAGAGGUGGCACAGAAGAGGGGGUGGCGACUGUUUACUAAAAACAUAGGGCUCUGCGAAGUCGCAAGACGACGUAUAGGGUCUGACGCCUGCCCGGUGCCGGAAGGUUAAGGAGAGGGGUGCAAGCUCUGAACCGAAGCCCCGGUAAACGGCGGCCGUAACAAUAACGGUCCUAAGGUAGCGAAAUUCCUUGUCGGGUAAGUUCCGACCUGCA
rnacentral:rRNA from 1 species